CCUACGGGAGGCAGCAGUGGGGAAUAUUGCACAAUGGGCGCAAGCCUGAUGCAGCAACGCCGCGUGAGGGACGACGGCCUUCGGGUUGUAAACCUCUUUUAGUAGGGAAGAAGCGAAAGUGACGGUACCUGCAGAAAAAGCACCGGCUAACUACGUGCCAGCAGCCGCGGUAAUACGUAGGGUGCAAGCGUUAUCCGGAAUUAUUGGGCGUAAAGAGCUCGUAGGCGGUUUGUCGCGUCUGCUGUGAAAACUGGAGGCUCAACCUCCAGCCUGCAGUGGGUACGGGCAAACUAGAGUGCGGUAGGGGAGAUUGGAAUUCCUGGUGUAGCGGUGGAAUGCGCAGAUAUCAGGAGGAACACCGAUGGCGAAGGCAGAUCUCUGGGCCGUAACUGACGCUGAGGAGCGAAAGCAUGGGGAGCGAACAGGAUUAGAUACCCUGGUAGUCCAUGCCGUAAACGUUGGGCGCUAGAUGUGGGGACCAUUCCACGGUUUCCGUGUCGCAGCUAACGCAUUAAGCGCCCCGCCUGGGGGAGGACGGCCGCGACGGACGUAAACUACAANAGAAGUUAGUACGGCGUGAGACGUGCCGACGGACGACGACGAGGGAGGAGG
rnacentral:rRNA from 1 species